rnacentral:rRNA from 1 species
AUUGAACGCUGGCGGCAGGCCUAACACAUGCAAGUCGAGCGGAUGAAGGGAGCUUGCUCCUGGAUUCAGCGGCGGACGGGUGAGUAAUGCCUAGGAAUCUGCCUGGUAGUGGGGGAUAACGUCCGGAAACGGGCGCUAAUACCGCAUACGUCCUGAGGGAGAAAGUGGGGGAUCUUCGGACCUCACGCUAUCAGAUGAGCCUAGGACGGAUUAGCUAGUUGGUGGGGUAAAGGCCUACCAAGGCGACGAUCCGUAACUGGUCUGAGAGGAUGAUCAGUCACACUGGAACUGAGACACGGUCCAGACUCCUACGGGAGGCAGCAGUGGGGAAUAUUGGACAAUGGGCGAAAGCCUGAUCCAGCCAUGCCGCGUGUGUGAAGAAGGUCUUCGGAUUGUAAAGCACUUUAAGUUGGGAGGAAGGGCAGUAAGUUAAUACCUUGCUGUUUUGACGUUACCGACAGAAUAAGCACCGGCUAACUUCGUG